CGCGGGAUGGAGCAGUCCGGUAGCUCGUCAGGCUCAUAACCUGAAGGUCGUAGGUUCAAAUCCUACUCCCGCAA
rfam:Jannaschia seosinensis strain CECT 7799 genome assembly, contig: 0088